UACGGAGGAUGCGAGCGUUAUCCGGAUUUAUUGGGUUUAAAGGGUGCGCAGGCGGCGUGUCAAGCAAGCGGUAAAAUAGCGGGGCUCAACCCCGUCGAGCCGUCGGAACUGGGGGCCUUGAGUGCGGCGGAGGCAUGCGGAAUGCGCGGUGUAGCGGUGAAAUGCAUAGAUAUCACGAAGAACUCCGAUUGCGAAGGCAGCUUACCAGUCUGCGACUGACGCUCAGGCACGAAAGUGUGGGUAUCGAACAGG
rnacentral:rRNA from 1 species